rnacentral:rRNA from 1 species
UAGGGAAUCUUCCGCAAUGGGCGAAAGCCUGACGGAGCAACGCCGCGUGAGUGAUGAAGGUCUUCGGAUCGUAAAACUCUGUUAUUAGGGAAGAACAAAUGUGUAAGUAACUAUGCACGUCUUGACGGUACCUAAUCAGAAAGCCACGGCUAACUACGUGCCAGCAGCCGCGGUAAUACGUUGGUGGCAAGCGUUAUCCGGAAUUAUUGGGCGUAAAGCGCGCGUAGGCGGUUUUUUAAUUCUGAUGUGAAAGCCCACGGCUCAACCGUGGAGGGUCAUUGGAAACUGGAAAACUUGAGUGCAGAAGAGGAAAGUGGAAUUCCAUGUGUAGCGGUGAAAUGCGCAGAGAUAUGGAGGAACACCAGUGGCGAAGGCGACUUUCUGGUCUGUAACUGACGCUGAUGUGCGAAAGCGUGGGGAUCAAACAGG